rnacentral:rRNA from 1 species
CAAUAGCGUAUAUUAAAGUUGUUGCAGUUAAAAAGCUCGUAGUUGGAUUUCUGGUUGAAGCGACCGGUCGGGCGUUGAUUCGUCUGCACUGGAGUCGGUUUUGGCCAUCCUCUAGGAAAGUGCGUCUGGUAUUAAGUUAUCGGGCGUAUGAUCCUGGUCUUUUACUGUGAAAAAAUUAGAGUGUUUAAAGCAGGCCUUCGCCUUGAAAACAUUAGCAUGGAAUAAUAAGAUAGGACUUUGGUCUAUUUUGUUGGUUUGCAGACCGAAGUAAUGAUUAAUAGGGAUAGUUGGGGGUAUUUAUAUUCCGAUGUCAGAGGUGAAAUUCUUAGAUUUUCGGAAGAUAAACUUAUGCGAAAGCAUUUACCAAGGAUGUUUUCAUUAA